rnacentral:rRNA from 1 species
AGUAGCCUACGGGGCGCAGCAGUGAGGAAUAUUGGUCAAUGGUCGGGAGACUGAACCAGCCAAGCCGCGUGAGGGAGGAAGGUACAGAGUAUCGUAAACCUCUUCUGUCAGGGAACAAAGACUGGGAUGCGUCCCCGGAUGAGUGUACCUGAAGAAAAAGCAUCGGCUAACUCCGUGCCAGCAGCCGCGGUAAUACGGAGGAUGCGAGCGUUAUCCGGAUUUAUUGGGUUUAAAGGGUGCGCAGGCGGUCUGUUAAGUCAGCGGUCAAAGCCCGGGGCUCAACCCCGGCCCGCCGUUGAAACUGG